rnacentral:rRNA from 1 species
CCUACGGGAGGCAGCAGUAGGGAAUAUUAGUAAUGGGCGAAAGCCUGAACUAGCAACGCCGCGUGUGCGAAGAAGGCCUUCGGGUUGUAAAGCACUUUUUGAGAGGAUGAGGAAGGACGGUACUCUCAGAAUAAGUCUCGGCUAACUACGUGCCAGCAGCCGCGGUAACACGUAGGAGGCGAACGUUAUCCGGAUUUACUGGGCGUAAAGCGCGUGCAGGCUGUUCGGUAAGUUGGGCGUGAAAGCUCCCGGCUCAACUGGGAGACGUCGUUCAAUACUGUCGGACUAGAGGAUGGUAGAGGGAGGUGGAAUUCCGGGUGUAGUGGUGAAAUGCGCAGAUAUCCGGAGGAACACCAGUGGCGAAAGCGGCCUCCUGGACCAUUCCUGACGCUCAGACGCGAAAGCUAGGGUAGCGAACGGGAUUAGAGACCCCGGUAGUCCUAGCUGUAAACGAUGUGAACUUGGCGUCGGUGGGAUUAAAUCCAUCGGUGUCGAAGCUAACGCGAUAAGUUCACCGCCUGAGGACUACGGCCGCAAGGUUAAAACUCAAAGGAAUUGACGG